CUAUACAAAGGUAUUGUAAUAAGAUUUUAAUUGAGUGCUAAGAGAAUGGAUUUUCAAAAAAAAUCUUUUUUAAAUUUAAAAAUUGAAGUUAUUUUUAUUUGUGAAGAAACAAUAAUAAAAAUUAUAGACAAGAAGACCCUAAGAAUUUUUAUAACUUUUCGCUAAAAAUUUAAUGAAAAGUUAUUUAAUUGGGGCGAUUUAAAAAAAUAAUAAACUUUUUAUAAUUCAAAUUCGAUCCAUUAAUAAUGAUUUUAUGAAAAAAAAAUACUCUAGGGAUAACAGCGUAAUAAUUUUAGAUAGAUCUUAUAGAAAAAAUAGUUUGCGACCUCGAUGUUGGAUUAGGAUACUUUUUUAAUGAAGAAGUUAAAAUAAGAAGUUUGUUCAACUUUUAAAAUCCUACAUGAUCUGAGUU
rnacentral:rRNA from 1 species